rnacentral:lncRNA from 1 species
GAGAGCUCUGGUCCUAGCGUUGCUAAGCUCUAGUCCCAACCAGAUCAACGAACCUUUCAAAAAAAUAUUUGUGAAUUGAAUAGAAGCUCAGUGUUAUGUAACACUAACUUAAGAGUAAUCAGCAAGGAUGACAAAUGCAACAUUUGUGAAGAUAAUAGAAGCUUAGUAUCACAUGAAAUUAACAGAAGGAGUAAUCAGCUAGGAUG